CUUGCUUUCAUAGCUCAGUUGGUUAGAGCACCCGUUUAGUAAGCGGGAGGUCUUGAGUUCGACUCUCAAUGAAAGCACUGGUCACUUGC
rnacentral:tRNA from 1 species